CCUCCUCUGUCGUCAGGCUCCCUUCCCUAAGGACUAAACAGAACACAGCACUUUUGGAAAGACUUGCUCCACGGCUGAUUUCAAGCAACCUCGUGACUGCCCCUCUGUUUUGUGGUUUUGACACAACUGGCCAGCAUUCCUUCCUGAGAAGAGCCCACAGACCAUGAUGCUGGCCAGUCUACAGAGGCUGUGCACAAGCACAGUGGGCCUUCAUGUCCUCUGCUUCAUCUUUUGACAUCAGAGGACCAAAAUCUGCACCCUUGGACCAUGUUAAUGCUGUCAGUUUUUGAACCUGGGAUCCAUGAAUUGCCAUGAAGCUCAGUUGCACAUGCACAUGUUUCUUCUUUUGAGCUGUGAUGAUUCAGGUAACGGAAGGAGGCCUGUGUAUGCGAAGGUGGGAGAUAGAAGCAGGAAAGAGACAAGAGCACAUCAGGCCCUUUGAUCUCUGCCCUGGAAGAUCUGCUUCCUUGGGGAAAGAGCCCUGGAGGACGGACACCCCUUGUGCCCGUGUGGUGGCCUACAGGAAGAGCUGGUGCCUUUCAUCACAGAGUUGGCCCAGGAGUCAUAGGGGCUGGAGCAGGAUUGGUCAAGGAGGAGUGGUUGCAGGCCUGGCUGCUGCCCCACACCAACGAGAUGAGCCGGUGACAAGCAGCAAUCUGUAGGGAGAGUUGUGAGUAUAAAAGAACCCAGAAAUAGAGAAAAACUGGAAUGGAUCCAUGUGAAUGCCUUUGAGAACAGAAUUGAGCCCUGCAGGGGUAGACUUCAAGCCUUGGCAGGGCCUCCCUGCAUGCUGUGAAAAGAUUUCCUUUCUGGAAACACCAUAAGGCUGAUGACCAGUCACCCAGCUCCUAGUUCUCCAGUUCU